rnacentral:rRNA from 1 species
GACGAACGCUGGCGGCGUGCUUAACACAUGCAAGUCGAACGGAAAGGCCCUGCUUGCAGGGUACUCGAGUGGCGAACGGGUGAGGAACACGUGGGGGAUCUGCCCCGCACUUCGGGAUAAGCCUGGGAAACUGGGUCUAAUACCGGAGAGGAGCCAUUUUUAGUGUGAUGGUUGGAAAGUUUUUUCGGUGUAGGAUGAGCUCGCGGCCUAUCAGCUUGUUGGUGGGGUAAUGGCCUACCAAGGCGGCGACGGGUAGCCGGCCUGAGAGGGUGGACGGCCACAUUGGGACUGAGAUACGGCCCAGACUCCUACGGGAGGCAGCAGUGGGGAAUAUUGCACAAUGGGCGGAAGCCUGAUGCAGCGACGCCGCGUGGGGAUGACGGCCUUCGGGUUGUAAACUCCUUUCGCUAGGGACGAAGCUUUUUGUGACGGUAACUAGAUAAGAAGCACCGGCUAACUACGUG